AUCCAGUGAGACUACUAUUCCAUGAUAAAUCCAAUACGACAAGGUUAGGCAUGAAUCGAAAGAAUUCUCCGGAAAUA
rnacentral:sRNA from 1 species